rnacentral:rRNA from 1 species
GACGAACGCUGGCGGCGUGCCUAAUACAUGCAAGUCGAGCGAAUCUUUUGGGAGCUUGCUCCCAAAAGAUUAGCGGCGGACGGGUGAGUAACACGUGGGCAACCUGCCUAUAAGAUUGGGAUAACUUCGGGAAACCGGAGCUAAUACCGGAUACGUUCUUUUUUCGCAUGAGAGAAGAUGGAAAGACGGCUUCUAGCUGUCACUUAUAGAUGGGCCCGCGGCGCAUUAGCUAGUUGGUGGGGUAAUGGCUCACCAAGGCGACGAUGCGUAGCCGACCUGAGAGGGUGAUCGGCCACACUGGGACUGUGACACGGCCCAGACUCCUACGGGAGGCAGCAGUAGGGAAUCUUCCGCAAUGGACGAAAGUCUGACGGAGCAACGCCGCGUGAACGAAGAAGGCCUUCGGGUCGUAAAGUUCUGUUGUUAGGGAAGAACAAGUACCAGAGUAACUGCUGGUACCUUGACGGUACCUAACCAGAAAGCCACGGCUAACUACGUGCCAGCAGCCGCAGUAAAAC